CAGUAUGUGUGUAUGUAUGUAGGUAUUAGGUAGUAUGUGUGUAUGUAUGUAGGUAUUAAGCAGUGUGUGUGUAUAGAUGUAGGUAUUAGGCAGUGUGUGUUUAUAGAUGUAGGUAUUAAGCAGUAUGUGUGUAUGGAUGUAGGUAUUAGGCAGUAUGUGUGUAUGGAUGUAGGUAUUAAGCAGUAUGUGUGUAUGGAUGUAGGUAUUAAGCAGUAUGUGUGUAUGUAUGUAGGUAUUAGGCAGUGUGUGUAUGGAUGUAGGUAUUAAGCAGUGUGUGUGUAUGGAUGUAGGUAUUAAGCAGUGUGUGUGUAUAGAUGUAGGUAUUAAGCAGUAUGUGUGUAUGUAUGUAGGUAUUAGGCAGUAUGUCUGUUAGUAUGUAGGUAUUAAGCAGUGUGUGUGUAUGGAUGUAGGUAUUAAGCAGUAUGUGUGUAUGGAUGUAGGUAUUAAGCAGUGUGUGUGUGUAUAGAUGUAGGUAUUAAGCAGUAUGUGUGUAUGGAUGUAGGUAUUGGGUAGUAUGGGU